rnacentral:rRNA from 1 species
GACGAACGCUGGCGGCGUGCUUGACACAUGCAAGUCGAACGGAAAGGCCCUGCUUUUGUGGGGUGCUCGAGUGGCGAACGGGUGAGUAACACGUGAGUAACCUGCCCUUGACUUUGGGAUAACUUCAGGAAACUGGGGCUAAUACCGGAUAGGAGCUCCUGCUGCAUGGUGGGGGUUGGAAAGUUUCGGCGGUUGGGGAUGGACUCGCGGCUUAUCAGCUGGUUGGUGGGGUAGUGGCUUACCAAGGCUUUGACGGGUAGCCGGCCUGAGAGGGUGACCGGCCACAUUGGGACUGAGAUACGGCCCAGACUCCUACGGGAGGCAGCAGUGGGGAAUAUUGCACAAUGGGCGGAAGCCUGAUGCAGCAACGCCGCGUGCGGGAUGACGGCCUUCGGGUUGUAAACCGCUUUCGCCUGUGACGAAGCGUGAGUGACGGUAAUGGGUAAAGAAGCACCGGCUAACUACGUG